ACAUUCCCAUCACUUGCUAACUUGGAGUGGGGAUUAUUUUACCACUCUGCGCCUCACUUUUUUCAAAUUUAAAGUGGGGAUAAUAUUACCUACCUCACAGAAUUGCUAUAAGAAUAUGUAUGAGUAUUCAGAAAUGUUAAGUAUCAUAUUAGUUUAAAUACAUACAUACAUAUAUAUGUAUAGAUACAAUGUUUUAGUUUCCUCUCAAUUUACACUGAAUAACUUCCUCACUUGGGAAGCCUGAGCAGUUACAAAGCAGUGGAUUUUAGUUCCUCUACACUCUGUGCUGCUGAUCUUCCAGUUUCAAGUUAUGUGGACCUCCUCUUCCCUUGUGCCCCUGGAGUUUCUGCUGAUCUAAAUGACACUUUGUUUCCCACGGGUGGUUCUGGCUGCUCUCACCUCAAGUCUGUGGAAUUUUCAGAAGACUCUCAUUCAAGUGGCAGAAUCAGCGGAACGUGUGUGACCUUCACUGCAUUGUUGAAUGAUUGCCCAUCAGAAAAUACAAAGAGUAAAAGACUACUGGGCAAGGAUAAAUUCUAGAAAUUGAAAUACUGAGUCCAAGAGUAUGAACAACCCUUCAAGGUCCUAAAUGGGGGAGGACCAGAGCUGGUAAUUUAUUUAUUUAUUUAUUUAUUUAUUUAUUUAUUUAUUUAUUUAUUUAUUGUCCUGGGUAUCUGCCGUCAUGCUACUAGCUAGGUAGACAGCAGGUAAUAGGUGUGGUAAUGAUUCAGGGCCUGGGCAGGCCCUGGAGAAAGGCUGGGCAGUGCUCUUGCUAUUGAGGCAGGGUCGGUGGGACUGCCCUUUAGAAAUGUUUAUUUCCUCUUGAUGCAGUGUGUAGAGGGGAGGCGACAUGGAGAGGAAGAGUUCAUCAAAGCAGUGAGUCUAGACCACAAGUGAAAUGUAUAGCCUUUUAAGACGAAUAUCAUCACAAGAAAAUGCCUCUGCUCACUAAAAACCACCAGUUCAGCUAAAGACUUUCUUGAUGUAGUGUAGCUUCCCUUGCGCUACACCGUAAGUUACUCACAUUCAGCAAAUGACUAUCUGUAAAUAUUCCUUCUGCCCCCUCAUUACUGCCACAUUCUCCCUCAAGUCCCCCUUCCCCAGAUGAACAUUACCUGUCCUUUGCCAGCUUUCUGUGAUGCAGUAUCACAUAAUAGCAAAAGCACAGACUUGAUUGGCCACUGUCCUAGUCUGAUUCCUGUCUGUGCCCUGUAGGUUGGACAAUCUUUUCUUCUUAAAAUUGAAGUAUCUUUGAUACACAAUGCUACGUUAGUUUCAUGUGUACAACGCAGUGAUUUGACAUGUGUAUAUGUUAUACUAUGUUUACCACGAGUGUAGCUACGGUGUGUUAUCAUGUAACACUGCUUCAAUACCAUUGACUAUUUAUAUCCUCUGUAUUGUACCUUUUAUUCCUCUGGCUUAUUCACUCCAUAACUGGAAGCCUGCAUAUCCCACUCCUCUUCGUUCAUUUUGCCAUCCUCUGGCAACCAUCAGUUUGUUCUUGAUCUGUUUGUGCUUUUUGUCAGUUCAUUCAUUUUUUUUUUUUUUUAGAUUCUGCAUAUAAGUGAAAUCAUGUGAUAUUUUCUUUCUCUCUCUUAUUUUACUUAGCACAGUACCCCUAAGGUCCAUCCAUGUGGUCCCAAAUGGCAAGAUCUUAUUCUUUGUUAUGGUUGAAUAAUAUUCCAGUGUGUGUGUGCGUGUCACAUCUCCUUUAUCCAUUUAGCUAUCAAUGGACACUUGGGUUGCUUCCAUAUCUUGGCUAUUGUAAAUAAUGCUGCAAUAAAUAUAGGUGUGCAUAUAUUUUUUUGAAUUGGUGUUUUCAUUUUCUUUGGGUAAACAUCCAAUACUGGAUCAUAUGAUAAUUCUAUUUUUAAUUUUUUGAGGAAUUUCCACACCGUUUUCCAGAGGCUGCCCCAAUUUACAUUCCCACCAACAGUGCACAGGGAUUCCUUUUUUUCCCCACAACCUCACCAACAUUGACUGACUUUUUGAUUCUUAGUUUCUUACCUUUAAAAUAAUACAGAGUUGGGGAUGCCUGGGUGGCUCAGUUGGUUGAGUGUCUGACUUUAGCUCAAGUCAUGAUCUAGGGUUCAUGGGUUUGAGCCCUGUGUCAGGCUCACUGUUGUCAGUGCGGAGCCUGCUUUGGAUCCUCUGUUCACCUCUCUCUCUGCCCCUCCCCCCUCACACUCUCCCUCUGUCUCAAAAAUAAACAAAACAUUAAAAAAUUAAAAAAAAUAAUACAGGGUUGUUAUGACAGGCAAAUGUAGUGCCAUGAGCAGAAAAAAAAAACAGCUAACCUUCACUGAGUUCUUACUACAAGUAUAACAAAACAAAACACUGUUCUAAGGGUUUAAAAUGCAUACAUUUACUUAUUCUUCAAAAUAAUCUGUGAUAAACUGGAUUCUAGAAAGCUCUCAUGGUUUUCAUCCCUGGUGUUACUUCUGUGAUUAUGUUACAUGAUGUGAUAAAAGGGACUUUGAAGAUGUGAUUACAUGACUAAGCAGUUGACCUGGAGAUAGGAUUAUCUAGGUAGGCCUGGAUAUUAUAAUCACAUAAUCCCAUGGGCCCUUUAAAGCAAAAAGUUUUCUCUGGCUGUUGGUAAAAGAAAUCAGAGAGAUUUAAAGUAUGAGACGGGCUCAACUUGAUUGCUGCUUUAAAGAUGGGAGGGGUCACAUAAAAAGAAGCCUGGGCAGCCUCAAGGAGCA